rnacentral:rRNA from 1 species
UACGUAGGGCGCGAGCGUUGUCCGGAUUUAUUGGGCGUAAAGAGCUCGUAGGCGGCUCGUUGCGUCGGCUGUGAAAACCCGCAGCUAAACUGUGGGCUUGCAGCUGAUACGGGCGGGCUUGGAUUCGGUAGGGGAGACUGGAAUUCCUGGUGUAGCGGUGAAAUGCGCAGAUAUCAGGAGGAACACCGGUGGCGAAGGCGGGUCUCUGGGCCGAUACUGACGCUGAGGAGCGAAAGCGUGGGGAGCGAACAGG